rnacentral:rRNA from 1 species
CAGGGAUUGCCCCAGUAACGGCGAGUGAAGCGGCAACAGCUCAAAUUUGAAAUCUGGCCCCAGGCCCGAGUUGUAAUUUGCAGAGGAUGCUUUUGGCGCGGUGCCUUCCGAGUUCCCUGGAACGGGACGCCAUAGAGGGUGAGAGCCCCGUACGGUUGGACACCAAGUCUUUGUAAAGCUCCUUCGACGAGUCGAGUAGUUUGGGAAUGCUGCUCAAAAUGGGAGGUAUAUUUCUUCUAAAGCUAAAUAUUGGCCAGAGACCGAUAGCGCACAAGUAGAGUGAUCGAAAGAUGAAAAGCACUUUGAAAAGAGGGUUAAACAGCACGUGAAAUUGUUAAAAGGGAAGCGCUUAUGACCAGACUUGCGCCCGGUGAAUCACCCAGCUCUCGCGGCUGGGGCACUUUGCCGGCUCAGGCCAGCAUCAGCUCGCUGUCGGGGACAAAAGCUUCGGGAACGUAGCUCUCUUCGGGGAGUGUUAUAGCCCGUUGCACAAUACCCUUCGGCGGGCUGAGGUACGCGCUCCGCAAGGAUGCUGGCGUAAUGGUCAUCAGCGACCCGUCUUGAAACACGGACCAAGGAGUCAACCUUAUGUGCGAGUGUUUGGGUGUCAAACCCCUACGCGUAAUGAAAGUGAACGCAGGUGAGAGCUUCGGCGCAUCAUCGACCGAUCCUGAUGUUCUCGGAUGGAUUUGAGUAAGAGCAUAUAGGGUUGGACCCGAAAGAAGGUGAACUAUGCGUGUAUAGGGUGAAGCCAGAGGAAACUCUGGUGGAGGCUCGCAGCGGUUCUGACGUGCAAAUCGAUCGUCAAAUAUGCGCAUGGGGGCGAAAGACUAAUCGAACCUUCUAGUAGCUGGUUUCCGCCGAAGUUUCCCUCAGGAUAGCAGUGUUGAACUCAGUUUUAUGAGGUAAAGCGAAUGA